AUUGCUCCCAAAUUAAAAAUAACAUUCAGAAUAAUAAAAAGGUAAUUGUUAGCUUUCACACGUUCCUCACCCAGUUAUCCUUAUCUACUUCCCUAACUAUUCACUCACUCGUCAGAGCCAAUUGCCACUGUGUGUCGCCGUUCGAUUCCGUCAGCCCCCAUUUGAUUUCGCUUUCCAGCGUUCGAUUCCGUCAGCCGCCGUUAGAUCCUGUUUGCCACAAGUUGAUUUCAUUUUCCACCGUUCGAUUCCAUUUUUGACAGUUCAAUUUUGUUUUCAUGGUUAUCUUGAUUUUCCUGUUGAAUCUGAACCUGGAGUUCCAAGAAGGCCUCCUAGAUAUAGGAGCAAGUGAUUUAAAGGUUAUAGUUUGAGCUUUGGAAUCAGAAAGAGAAUUGCAUUUCAAAUGUGCAGAAACAAAAUUGGGAAUGUAAUCGAUGGUUGUUGUGUGACAUGCUUGCAAUGGAAGCUACUCGUGAAUAUAUAAAAUGAAAGUCAUAUUUUUCUUGUAUUGUUUGUAAUUUGAGUUUUCCUGUAUAGAAUAACUAUUUGAGUAAUGUUGCAUUUUUCUUGACUAUUUUAAUUUGAUGUAUGUAUAUAACUAAAUGACCAUUAUAAUUGAUAACUAUUAUUGUAUAUA